UACGUAGGGGGCUAGCGUUGUCCGGAAUCAUUGGGCGUAAAGAGCGUGUAGGCGGCCCGGUAAGUCCGCUGUGAAAGUCGGGGGCUCAACCCUCGAAUGCCGGUGGAUACUGUCGGGCUAGAGUGCGGAAGAGGCGAGUGGAAUUCCUGGUGUAGCGGUGAAAUGCGCAGAUAUCAGGAGGAACACCAAUGGCGAAAGCAGCUUUCUGGGACGGUACUGACGCUGAGACGCGAAAGCGUGGGGAGCGAACAGG
rnacentral:rRNA from 1 species